rnacentral:rRNA from 1 species
UACGUAGGUCCCGAGCGUUGUCCGGAUUUAUUGGGCGUAAAGCGAGCGCAGGUGGUUUAUUAAGUCUGGUGUAAAAGGCAGUGGCUCAACCAUUGUAUGCAUUGGAAACUGGUAGACUUGAGUGCAGGAGAGGAGAGUGGAAUUCCAUGUGUAGCGGUGAAAUGCGUAGAUAUAUGGAGGAACACCGGUGGCGAAAGCGGCUCCCUGGCCUGUAACUGACACUGCGGCUCGAAAGCGUGGGGAGCAAACAGG